GAAAAUCCUAGUGUGGUCCAUGGUGAUUCUGAUGAUAAGACAACUGUAGAAACUGAAGUAACUGCUGUGGCCAGGAAAGAUGGACAAACAGCCAUGGUUAAUUAAGCAGAGAACUAAAUGUAAAUUCUUGAGAGUCUGUUUAUUACCUAACUGAUACACACUGCAGCAGCAACAUUUAUCAGGUGGGAAGAUGACUACUGAGAGCACUGUUGGUUGAUUAGGUGACUGUAUUUUAGAGCCUUCUGUGCAUCAUCGAUGGGCACUGUUGCUUAGCAAGGUUGAUUCUUUUUCUCACCUGCUGAUAUAGCUUGAGCUUGCUCUCUCUCUUCCGAAAGUGGUGAUGAAUAGGGUCUUGUUUUCCGCCUUUCCUAUCUGGUAAUCCAAUGCCUUUAUUAAUUAUUAGUUUCUAGCCUUCUACCUUCUAGCUUCGCCUUAGUAAUUGAUCUACAAACUGGAAUUGUCACCUGAUACUUGGACCCUUUUUUAGCACGAUUUAUAUCCAUAAAAUUUUUUCCUUUUCACAUGAAUGCC
rnacentral:lncRNA from 1 species